CUCAACUCAGAGUUCUCCGCUCCACGGAGAUCUCCUCCAGCCCUCACCAAGGGGAGUAAGAGUGGAGAUAUCCAGUCCCCUGACCCCUCCAUAAGGGGAGGACAGAUAUGACACCUCCUCUAAUCCCCACAGAGAACAAGGACAGAAAUUAUCUUUAUCCAGCAUCGACAAUGGAGGGUGCGGAGGCCCCAACUCGGAGUUCUCCGCUCCAUAGAGAUCUCCUCCAGCCUUCACCAAGGAUGAGGCUGGACACAAUCCAACCCCUCCAUCACAGAGGAGUUGGAAUGGAGGAUGCGGAGGCCUCAACUCCUCCGCUCCACACAGAUCUCCUCCAGCUCUCAACAAGGGGAGUAAGAGUGGAGAUAUCCAGUCCCCCAAUCCCUCCAUAAUGGGAGGACAGAUAUGACACCCCACCUAAUCCCCACAGGAAACAAGGAAAGAAAUGAUCCUUACCGAGAAUCGACAGUGGAGGGUGCGGAGGCCCCGACAGCGAUUUCUCCGCUCCACAGAGUUCUCCUCCAGCCCUCACCAAGGGUGAGGGCGGAGGCAGCCCGGCCCCUCCGGCCCGGAGGAGGGCGACACGGCCCGCUCGUUACGGUGAGGGAGAUGGAGAGCUCCCGGUGCA